rnacentral:rRNA from 1 species
CAGCCGCCGCGGUAAUACAGAGGGUGCGAGCGUUAAUCGGAUUUACUGGGCGUAAAGCGUGCGCAGGCGGUUCGUUAAGACAGAUGUGAAAUCCCCGGGCUUAACCUGGGAACUGCAUUUGUGACUGGCGAGCUAGAGUAUGGCAGAGGGGGAUGGAAUUCCGCGUGUAGCAGUGAAAUGCGUAGAUAUGCGGAGGAACACCGAUGGCGAAGGCAACCCCCUGGACCUGUACUGACGCUCGUGCACGAAAGCGUGGGGAGCAAACAGGAUUAGAUACCCGAGUAGUCCCUGUCUCUUAUAC